rnacentral:rRNA from 1 species
AUUGAACGCUGGCGGCAGGCCUAACACAUGCAAGUCGAACGAGUGGCGGACGGGUGUGUAAUGUCUGGAAAACUGCCUGAUGGAGGGGGAUAACUACUGGAACCGGUAGCUAAUACCGCUUACCGUAAGGUGUGGCCCGCGGGGAUUAGCUGGUUGGUGGGGUAACGGCGGCCCAAGGCGACGAUGCCUAGCUGGUCUGAGAGGAUGACGAGCCACACUGGAACUGAGAGACGGUCCAGACUCCCACGGGAGGCAGCAGUGGGGAAUAUUGCACAAAGGGCGCAAGCCGGAUGCAGCCAUGCCGCGGGUAUGAAGAAGGCGUUCGGGUUGUAAAGUAUUUACAGCGGGGAGGCGUUACCCGCAGAAGAAGCACCGGCUAACUCCGUGCCGGCCGCCGCGGUAAUUC